rnacentral:tRNA from 1 species
GCCUUCGUGGUGUAGUGGUCAGCACGCUCGGCGCGUAUUCGACAGGUCCGUGGUUCGAGUCCCGGCGAGGGCA